CAUCUAGAGCAGUGGAAGAAAGGGUCGACAUGUUGUCCCCUUAAUUUAUACCCCCUACCUACAGUAGGUACCCCAGUGACUAUUGUCUGAUGGCAAGUGAAUUUUAUUCAGGGCAACUAAUUUUCCUAUAAUCCAACUUGGCAAAUUGAACUUGCCCUAAGGACAAGUGGUCAAAAUAGUAAAGUUAUACCACUGACUACUGAGUAAGGUAUAUGAGCUACAGUAUCAUGGUAAUAAAAACUCUGGAAUAAGGUAUGCGGUUAUUUUCAAAAAAUUUACAUCAUCACUCAUCAAAUAGGUUGUUGAAGAAGUUUGAAGGAACCUCAACCAACCUGAAGAAGCAGAAGAAAGCGCAUACAUGAGGAAUUGUGAAAAUCAGCAGCUGAUUGACCAAUUGGACCCACUUAUUUACUAUGGUAUUUCAAAAGGAGUUAUGAAGCCACCGCAUGAACAGUGAUCUGGUAAUUAAAUCAUAUCAUUUUGUUUUUUGAUUAAUUAGAGUACCGGUACCAACAUUGGAUUCAUUAGCACCGACAUUAGGUGUCGUUAAUAGAAAAUAAUGAAUGAAAAUUGCAUUUUGAUUUAUACUGUACCGGUAACUAAUAAAUGACAUGAAAAAUCAAAAUUGCAUUGUUUAGCUCUCAAAAUAUCACAAAGCUUUUAUUAAAAAUGUAACUAAUUAAUAUUAUUUUUUAUGUAUGUAAUUCUAUAGAAAGUACUUCUGAUCACCUACAGUAAUGAAGAACAUUUAAUUCACUCUUCAAAUCAAAAGUCAACCUGCUAAGAGCAAACUGGACAUCAUAAACUUUGUUGAGGUGAGGUUAUAGUUUCAUUUUAUAAAAUUCAUUUAGUAAGGCCUGAAUCAAAUUUAGUGUGCAUAAUUAUACAUCUUCUUAGUUUUGAGCUUUCCUAUAUAGUUGAGAUAAGUUAAUAUGGGCUAACAUCUGCCGUCCAUCAUACAUCCUUUUCAUAAAUGGCUGCAAAAUAAAAAUCUUUUAUGUGCAUAUAAAUUGGCCCAACUAGCCUCGUACUCAUGUUAAGAUUUCAAAGGAAUAAAAAUUCCUUUGAAAUCUUAACAUGAGUACGAGGCUAGUUGGGCCAAUUUAUAUGACCUUACAGGUAUAUGCACAUAAAAGAAUUUUUAAUCGGCAGCCAUUGAAAAGGGUGUAGUGUAUUUCGCUCUGCAUGUCUAUAACCCCAGGGGAUAGCUUGUUAGUGAAAACAUAAGCUGUUAAUUCAUGAGGGUUAUGUAGUUGUUACCAAAACUAUUUUAAUUUGUGCUUUUUUCCUCAAAAGGAAGAAGACACAGACUUGACUACCUGGCUACAAAUGAGGCCCGCUGACAUACUGUAUCAGGGCUGGUCAUGACAUGAAGCUACUGGCAACAUUCGAGAAUAGCGAAACCGUAAAAGCCAUCGCUUACUUCCUGGCGUUGUUAUACUGUACCUGCUCGACGUAAGACUACCCAUCCACUCAUCCAGACUCAGCAGUCUGACAUGGUAAAGGCUUUUCAAGAAAUUGAACAAUAUUGCUACUGUACGUGUGAGAACUUUUACAUUUAUCUAUCAGUAAUUACUUUAAUAACCUAUUCAUGUAUAGCUGGU